rnacentral:lncRNA from 1 species
CAAACAUCCAGAUUAAUGUUUGACCAACUAUCUGGAUGCUGUGGACUGGCCAAGUUGGUACAUAAAAUUAACUGCUCUGGCCUCACAAGAUUAAAACUUGGUAAGAAAGUAGACACGGAAGUGUGUCUCUGUCCAGUUCCACCUAAACUGUGCUGGCAGAAACUUUGGCUCCUGCUGCUUAGCUCCUUCAGCGACCUGCGAGUCUGUCUCACGAAAAGAUACCGACCGCCAUCUUGAAUUUCUAAGCACUAAACACGAAGAGAUGUGAGUUUCUCAAAAGAUGCUUCAGACCCUCUGAGCCCCUUUGUCUGCGUGGAACGGGUCUCUAGUCGCGGGUGGACAAAGCGUAGGAUGAGUGACAAACAGACGCACACAGGAGAGGUCGAGGAAUCUGAAUGUCAUUUUUCAAAUCGAGCAUCAGACUUUUUAUGCAGAAGACAAUAAGGAAGUUGGAUGACAUACCUGCAAGGUACAAAUGAGCUUUCCCAGAUAUCUCUGAAGAUACCAUUUUGAAUAGGACUCACAUCACUCACUGCCUUGGUAGGGUCAUCUUUGUUCCACAAGAGGAAAACUGUCCACGAGAGGGUGGAGAUCACUCUGGCCAUGCAUAAUCAGAUUAACAUCAACGGUCCUUUACUCUGAAGAAGCCAUGGAGACCCCUCUUGCUGAUUAAGCCAGCUCAGGCUCCUGUGGAUGCUAUGGCCCUGGGCACUGAGCCCAGCAUCUGAACUUGUUCCUGGACCAGAGGUUCGAGAUGUCCACUUCUGAGGCCAUUUACUUCUUUGUGGGCCACCAGCUGUU